CGGGUGUAAAGUACUUUCAGUCGUGAGGAAGGCGGCGCGUUAAUAGCGGCGUUGUUUGACGUUAGCGACAGAAGAAAGCACCGGCUAACUCCGUGCCAGCAGCCGCGGUAAUACGGAGGGUGCGAGCGUUAAUCGGAAUUACUGGGCGUAAAGCGCAUGCAGGUGGUUUGUUAAGUCAGAUGUGAAAGACCCGGGGCGUCAACCUCGGAAUUGCAUUUGAAACUAGGCAGACUAGAGUACUGUAGAGGGGGGUAGGAAUUUCAGGUGUAGCGGUGAAAUGCGUAGAGAUCUGAAGGAAUACCGGUGGCGAAGGCGGCCCCCUGGACAGAUACUGACACUCAGAUGCGAAAGCGUGGGGAGCAAACAGGAUUAGAUACCCUGGUAG
rnacentral:rRNA from 1 species